rnacentral:rRNA from 1 species
GACGAACCGUGCGAACGUUAUUCGGAAUCACUGGGCUUAAAGCGCGUGUAGGCGGGACGGCACGUCGGUCGCUGAAAGCCCCCGGCUCAACCGGGGAACGGGCGCCGAUACGACCGCCCUCGAGGAACGUAGGGGGACCUGGAACUUCCGGUGGAGCGGUGAAAUGCGUUGAGAUGCGGAGGAACACCGAUGGCGAAGGCAGCCCCCUGGGCCAAUACUGACGCUCAGGCACGAAAGCGUGGGGAGCAAACAGG